rnacentral:lncRNA from 1 species
AUGUAUAAAAGAAAUGGUAAAAAAUUUAUGUAAGUAACGGAAAUUCAAUAAGGGAUGAUUGCAUGUGAUUGAGAAAUUUUUUUUUUUUGAGAGAGAUAGAUAGCAUACUAUUCCACUUCGUUUAUUUAAUUUAAAAGUAAACUUAGCUGAAAAUGUGAAUCAACUAGAAUUCGAACUCAGAAUCUUAGAUAUCAACUAUCAAAUCUUUUACCACUUAUGCUAGAAAUUUCUAUCCUUUUAUAUCUGAGAUAGUGAGAUUACCGCUAACAUAGGAAAGGGUAAAAAAAAUAAAAGGCUAUCAGGGAGUUAGGUUUAUCUUUAUUUAAAAUAAUUCUUUUCAAGUACUUCAAAUGGAAUUGUAACCAAUUUGGGUAUAGUUUUAAUUGUUGCAAUUGAACUUCCUCAUGCAGUUGCAACUGCAACAAUAAAAUUCAAAAACAUCAAAACAAAUGUCUAAUUUGAAUCUGCAUGUAGUUACAAUUACAGUAUAGUUACAACUAUGUGUAACCAAACAGCCCCUAAGAGUAAAAUUAGACAUAAUCCUAAGUUAAGUUAAUGGAUAGACCGAAAUAGAAUUGGUUUAGAAAACACUUGCA